UAGCUUUAAGAAAUUAUUUAAAGUUUUACCUGCCCGGUGAAAAAUUUUAACGGCCGCAGUACUUUGACUGUGCUAAGGUAGCAUAAUAAAUUGGCUUUUAAUUAAAGUCGGGUAUGAAAGGGGCUUCGGAAAGUGACUGUCUUAAUAUAUAUAAUUUUAAUUUAUUUAAUGGGUGAAAAUCCCCAUAAUUUUUUACAUUAGACGAGAAGACCCUAAGAGUUAUAAUUAAAAUGAAUUUAUUUCAUAUAUCGUUUUUGUUGGGGCAACAUAGACUGGAUAAAACCGUCUUUAAAUUGAUUUUACAUAACCAAUAUAGUUAAAAAGAAAUAAACUACCUUAGGGAUAACAGCAUAAUUAAUUUUUAGAUUGUGACCUCGAUGUUGGAUUAAGGACUUAAUUUACUAGCCGUAAAUUAAGAUAGUUCUGUUCGAACUUUAGUACCUU
rnacentral:rRNA from 1 species